rnacentral:rRNA from 1 species
CCUACGGGUGACAGCAGUGAGGAAUAUUGGUCAAUGGACGAGAGUCUGAACCAGCCAAGUAGCGUGAAGGAUGACUGCCCUAUGGGUUGUAAACUUCUUUUAUAUGGGAAUAAAAUGUUCCACGUGUGGGAUUUUGUAUGUACCAUAUGAAUAAGGAUCGGCUAACUCCGUGCCAGCAGCCGCGGUAAUACGGAGGAUCCGAGCGUUAUCCGGAUUUAUUGGGUUUAAAGGGAGCGUAGGUGGAUUGUUAAGUCAGUUGUGAAAGUUUGCGGCUCAACCGUAAAAUUGCAGUUGAAACUGGCAGUCUGGAGAACAGUAGAGGUGGGCGGAAUUCGUGGUGUAGCGGUGAACGGCAUAGAUAUCACGCAGAACUCGGAUGGAGAAGGCAGCAUACCGGCGCCCGACGGACGCUGAGGCACGAAAGCGUGGGUAUCGAACAGGAUUAGAUACCCAAGGAGUC